rnacentral:rRNA from 1 species
UGGGGAAUUUUGGACAAUGGGCGAAAGCCUGAUCCAGCCAUGCCGCGUGAGUGAAGAAGGCCUUCGGGUUGUAAAGCUCUUUUAGUCGGAAAGAAAGAGUUGCAAUGAAUAAUUGUGAUUUAUGACGGUACCGACAGAAAAAGCACCGGCUAACUACGUGCCAGCAGCCGCGGUAAUACGUAGGGUGCGAGCGUUAAUCGGAAUUACUGGGCGUAAAGGGUGCGCAGGCGGUCUUGCAAGUCAGAUGUGAAAGCCCGGGGCUUAACCUGGGAAUUGCGUUUGAAACUACAAGGCUAGAGUGCAGCAGAGGGGAGUGGAAUUCCUUGUGUAGCAGUGAAAUGCGUAGAGAUGUGGAAGAACACCGAUGGCGAAGGCAGCUCCCUGGGUUGACACUGACGCUCAUGCACGAAAGCGUGGGGAGCAAACA